rnacentral:lncRNA from 1 species
AUUGCUUUUAAAGACAGUGGGAAAGCACCUGUGGAAACAGAGCUGUUGAGUCACCAAAUUAGAAUUAACCUGACCAGCUGCAAUGUGAAGUCUCUGAAGAACCAUGCCUACAAGAUACUGAGAAUCGCUACCAGAAAAACACUGUGUGGUGAAGAAACUAAACAUGAGACUGUUUCCAGAUAAGAAUCUACAAGUGACUCACUGACUUGCAUAGUAUUUUGGAGAUUGUUAAGCAGAUUAUUUUCAUCAGUA